rnacentral:lncRNA from 1 species
UUCACGCGCCCUCUCAGAAGAUCCUGGAAGAAGCGAGAGGCGCGCACAGCUUCCUGGGAACGUAGCGUGCGGCCGGCUCACGCCCCUCCUCUUUCUUCAGCCGGUCCCGCCCUUUCCCCCGGCGGCCUAGUCUGUGAAGCCUCGCGAGAAGGAGCAGUUCGCGCCGCCAGAACUGAGUUGACGAUGCUCGAGCUGGUCGAUCGAUGGGGCGGCUCGAUCGGGCUGGGCCUUCUGUCUUCCUGCCGACGCACGCGUAGGCUGCCUGGCGGAUGUGGCUCGCUCCCGAAGACAUUCACUCUUCUGAAUCUAUUCCAAGCUGCACUGCCAAGAUGAAAGUUAAACUGCUUCAGCACUUCAGUUUUAUGCUCAGUGACAAGUUUGGCCAUGUCAGAGGACCGUCCAAAGGUCAGCAAGCUGGCUGCUGGCGAUGGGAUGCUCCCUCAGAAGCCAAAGUCUAUUACUGUGCCGUGGAAAUCCCCAGCUCACCUCUGCAGGACGAUUGCGUCUUCUCUCUGGAAGUUGUGGGUGUUGCAGGCUUUCUGCACCCUGCCCCCUGGGAGCCCGAUGCCGGCCAUUCAGCACUUCAUACUGUGGGGACCUGGGUCACGGCAGGUCGAAGGCUCUCUGGUAUUCUGAGCAUCCUCUGAUUCGCUUUCAUUUUCCUGUCGGGGGGUUGUGGUCUAGAGGAGAAAGACUAUUCUUGAAUUGGUUAAUCGUGCUAUUUUUCUUCCCUUCUCUGAUUUGAGUACAAAUCUCCCCGACAUCUUGCCUAAGGCUCAUGAUAAUGCCCAGAUAGCUUUUAUUUCCAAGUAAUAGCUCAUGCCAACAUCUGUAAAUAGGCUUCCUCUAAUCUUAGAUGUAUGACAUAUUUUUCAUAUUAAACAGAAUGUUGAAGUAUUCUUACCAUGAUAACUUUUCAGCUAAUCUUGAAUUUGUUCCAAGAACAAUGAUACUGUUCAAGGCUAGACACAUCCCCUCCAUCACCUGCUUAAUAAGAUAAUUUUCUUUAUCUGUAAAAAGGGAGGAUAUGGGUUUAAGUUUCAGCUGUGCCACUUAGCAGCAGUGACCUUGAGCACAUUGAGUGACCUCUAUGAAUUUCAGUUCCCUUCCCGGGUAUACCAGGUAUAUGAGAAUGACGAUAGUUACCUUCCUUGUAGGAUUAAGGUGAAGAGCAAAUGACACAUAUGAAUGUGCUUUGUAAGGCAUAAACUAUUCAGAUCUUCAGUUCAGUUCAGUUCAGGUGCUCAGUCAUGUCUGACUCUUUGUGACC